AUUGAACGCUGGCGGCAUGCCUUACACAUGCAAGUCGAACGGCAGCACGGGAGCAAUCCUGGUGGCGAGUGGCGAACGGGUGAGUAAUAUAUCGGAACGUGCCCAGUCGUGGGGGAUAACGUAGCGAAAGCUACGCUAAUACCGCAUACGAUCUAUGGAUGAAAGCGGGGGAUCGCAAGACCUCGCGCGAUUGGAGCGGCCGAUAUCAGAUUAGGUAGUUGGUGAGGUAAAGGCUCACCAAGCCGACGAUCUGUAGCUGGUCUGAGAGGACGACCAGCCACACUGGGACUGAGACACGGCCCAGACUCCUACGGGAGGCAGCAGUGGGGGAAUUUUGGACAAUGGGCGCAAGCCUGAUCCAGCAAUGCCGCCGUGCAGGAUGAAGGCC
rnacentral:rRNA from 1 species